rnacentral:rRNA from 1 species
UACGAAGGGGGCUAGCGUUGUUCGGAUGUACUGGGCGUAAAGCGCACGUAGGCGGAUCGUUAAGUCGGGGGUGAAAUCCUGGAGCUCAACUCCAGAACUGCCUUUGAUACUGAAGAUCUUGAGUUCGGGAGAGGUGAGUGGAACUGCGAGUGUAGAGGUGAAAUUCGUAGAUAUUCGCAAGAACACCAGUGGCGAAGGCGGCUCACUGGCCCGAUACUGACGCUGAGGCACGAAAGCGUGGGGAGCAAACAGG